ensembl:lncRNA
UCCCAGGUAAACACAAGAGGACUGCUGGUGUUUAGGUACGCUCUGGAAACACUGAUAGAUCCCGAGACACCGGAUAUGUUUACGCGAACCAUGCUUCACAAACACGUGCCGGUGACCAGGAGCCUGAUGGACUCUGUGCUGCGUGACAUACGGAGGCAACGGAGGACACAGGACCUCGCACGUGUAUUAGACAGUGGGUAUUGCGAAUGUAACUCCGGACACCCCAGUCGCAGCAUUGCAUGCCGUGGCCAGUGUCAAACGGCUUACGCAUACUACUACAAUCACACAGAAACACACCCUUUCAUCGCAAGCAAAAGCGAUCACAGUUACUACUUCGCACACCUGUACCGGCAUUUGGGCAAACUGGAACGUAUGAGCAAAGAAAUGAAACAGGAGUACGGGGGGCGCAACCAGUUCGAGCUAAUAGCCGACAUGGUCUUCACCAUCUUGACAAGACACCGCUUCAGUGACCGAGAAUCAAUUUAUCUGGGAUUGGGCGAGGUCGUAGACGUCACCGUGGGCAAUGCUUCUCUGUCUCUCGGACACCACUUACCGGACAUACACCUACGCUUGUGCAGCCGUGCCCGCACCACGGGCGAAGAGCACGCCAGUGUGAAGGUGUACGACGCCGCCGUCGUGAAAUAUCUGUUCUGCGACACCUUGGAAGUGACUAGACUGUUUCAAGCGUCUACUACGUUCAAUUACAUCAUAUCAAACACCGCACCCAGAUACACCAUUGAACGUAUCAUGCUGCUGAACAUCACCGGUCCGGGAGAAGGCAAGAGCUACACGAACAACGUGCUGGAUUAUCAGUUCCGCAGGGUAUCAGGUUGCAUCGAAAGACUCACUUCGUUCACCAUGCAGGCAUUCAAGUACAAGCAGAACAGGAAUGCCUGCGUGGUGAUGAUAGACGACGCUCACAUAACACAUGAGAAAAACACGAAAGCGAUCGACAAAGAAUCAAACGUCAUCCCCAACACGUUUAAAAACCUGCUCGAUACCAGCGUGUUGGAAAGCGACGUGGUGACCAAAGACGCCACGACCGGCAAAAUCAACACAGUGAAAUAUCAGGCCGUCCACAACUGCGGAUUUGUGUGGAACACAAACACCAUGGGCUUCGUGAGCGACGCGUGGGCUGACCGAUGUUUGAUUAUGGAAUCUGAAUUUCCACGAGAUGUCACGCAGACCCGAAGCACUAUACAAAUCCGCGAUGCAGUGGAGAACCACAAGAUGGAUCGCAUCGCAGCGCUGUGCUUGUACAGACAGAACUUAAUACAGUCGGCCACGAUGAUCGCAGAGUCCGAGGUCAUGCAAUUUGGCCCCAGAUUCGACAAAGCCAGAGACACGUGCAUGUCAGCGUUUUACGCGACCCACAUCACGUGCGCCGGUCUGGUGGGUCGAAGGGUUGCUUUUUGCAUAAACCAACUGGUGUUUUCGGAGGCCAUGAAGAUGGCGUGUCAUUUCGUAUUUGACAUUUGGAUCCCUCCGUGGACAAAGAUUCCAGACAGGAGGGACUAUCCGGAUGGCGAUGCCUACAUGAAAAAGCUCAACGACCACAGACUGAGAGCUCUGAAUAAGCUCUCUUUCGGACAGAUAUGCCUAGAGACCAAUGCCGUGUACAAACUGUGCACAGCAGCCUGUCUGCCGGAUAUAUGCCCGCGUGCCCUUGACUCGCAAGGAAGGUUCGCGUGCAAGGUGUUGGGGUACGUUUUAACACAGGUGCACAAGCAAAACCUCAAAACCACUAUCAAGAACGACAACGUGUGCAUUUCAGGGAUCGAUGACAUGUUCUUCUCGUCGAACCACUUCAAGGGCGGCAGCACCACGGCUCACGAGAUGAUCAUGCUGUGUUCGAAGUGCCCGCUCGAUCGGCUGACCAAAGUGAAGCGAGUACACAAAAAUUGUGCACAUACAGAUUGUCCCCCAAUCAUCUUCCGUCACACGUGAAGAGAGGUCAAACGAAGCCGUCGAAAAAAGUCACUUCUGUCACGCUCUCACUCG